GCCAAGCGGUUCAUUUGUACUUAACUACGGAUUAUUUUCAGAUACAAUUGCAGCUACAGCCCAUCCACCAGAUCAGAGACCAACACGUGAUGUUUCAGAGCUUUCUUCCACAUACUGCACGGUGGGGCCUCACACUGGAACUGUGAGAUCCACAGAGACUAGAGACACAACUCUGCCAGAGAGCCUGUAUGCUCAGGUGGAAAAGUCGGCCAAGCCCUUAAAAAAAUAAUCAGGAAUUGUAUUUCACAAUCUGCACUUGCCACAAUUUCUAGUUUGUAUUUAAAUGUUGCCCAAGCUGUCGAUGUUUAUGUUUACCUGACCUGCACUGGUACGAAUAGACUGUAAAACACUGCAUCACACACAUUCAGAAGUUGCUCUCUGUGUCAGCUCAGCCAGAGAGAGACUCUCAUGUUCAACAGGCCCCAAAAUGUGGAAACAUUUGAAGGAGUUUUGGGUGUGUGCACUGGUGAGGACAUUUCCUUUCAAUGACUGAAGCACCAAUAUGGAACCACUGAACACUGACAAUAAUUCUCCGAUACGGUCAAGAUCAAUUUGGAAAAAGUGAGAAAAAGUGAACAAAUUUUAGUUACCCCUGGAGGUUCAAGCUUGAAUACCUGGGGUUGAGCCUUUAUCUCACUUAUUCACCUGUUCAGACGUUAACCUUAGCCUGUAUUACAGUAAAAAUGCAGUGCAGAAGUACUGCAACCAUUAUAAGACACACAGGAACCUCGCUGCAGUGACCACCUUUGAAACUCAGCUCAUAUGGUCUAAAAGCUUCAGAAGAAGAUCAUGAAUUUUGUGUCUAAGGAUGAUGGACAAAAUGAUGUCUCCUUCUUUAACAAGCUGUAGUAUACAGUGUGUAAAUGUGACUUUCAAGGUCUCACAUGAUUAUUGUGAUUUGAAGUGAUGUGCUGCAGGAUUUUUGUAUUAUUUUAUUGUAUUUUUUUAUGUUAUUCUUUAAGCUAUGUAAUAAAUGUGUGCUAUGUGGCAUAACUUUCAGCUAAUAGUAUCACAACCAAAGAUUGGGCCAUCGGAACAAAAUUACAUUUUCUUUACUGUUUAUUGUUUUUUUCUGAAGACUUGAAUUAAUUUAUUUUUGUGUGUUUACACCAUGUGUUUUGUUCAACAUGAGGCAAAUUAGUAAAACUAUAUAUAUAUAUAUAUAUAUAUAUAUAUAGCCUAUGUAUAUAUGUAUAUAUUCAGAUUUUUCAGUUUCUUAAAAAGAUACUUUUUUUUAACAUUUAGGCUAGUUAUUUAUACAGAUAUUAUAGGAAUAAUCCCAGUAGGCUUGGAAAGUGUGCUAUGCAAAGUUUGUAGCUGCUCUUAACAUCCACAGCAGAGAUUAUGCUGGAACAAGCUUGAAAGUGUCAUUAAAUGUUUUAUUUUUCCAUACAAAUAUAUUGUUUUGAAUUCAGUGUUUCAAGUGCGUUUCUUAUCACAGCAGCACUGAUCGAUUCCUCAGAGUUCAGUAUACCAGAGUGGAAAAAAAGUCAGUGACACAUGAUUUCCACCUUUAUUAAUUCAGAAAGUUACAAAACAUAUAAGAUGAGCAUAUAGCUUUAAUAAUAAUUGUCCUAUAAUGCUGCAUCUACCACAAACUGCUUUCACUAAAAUAAUAAGACAUGCUUGAACAAAUAAUGAACAUACAAAUGAACAAACACAUGCAUUUUUAAGAAUAUUGUAAGUAGGACCACAUUCAGUGUUACAUAUAAUGUACUGCUCAGUAUUUCUUGUAUGCUGUUGGCUGUGAUCUUACAAAAAUACAUCUUAUUUUUGUUGUUUUUUUCCAGGUAACAUCCUCCAAACAUUUUUAGCAUGAUCAUCUAUUUACAGUCCUUCUAUUUACAAAUUUGUCCAUGAGGUGAACAGUGAUGACGGCAGACACCAUGAUGAUCAGGCCAACAGAGAACACCACUGUCUUCACCAGACACACAGAGAUACCAGGAGAGAGACUCUCUGAAUCUGGAGAACAACAAAACAGGUGGUGACACAACAGAUCCAGACUGUGACACUGCAGCAACAAGUUUCAGGGGCUGACCUAUAUGUUCUGUAGUAUAAAUGACAAUGAAGGAGGCAAAUGUCACAUUCUGUGCCAAAUACAGAAAAACUGCAUUAGCAAAAAUAAAUACAACUUAUUUAUUGAAUUAUUAUUAUCAUUUGAUGUUCCUUCAUUCAUGACAUUUCUGUACUUUCUAGUUUUGUUUGUAUUCUCCCUCUACAGCCUGACAGGGUGGUUGAGUCAUGUGCAGAACUUAUUUAUCAGACAUUUUCUUCAAAAACAAACAAACAGACAAACAAAACGAUUAUUUUCUCAAAGUUUAGCCUAACUUCAGACAAUGUGUUUUA